CAAAAACAUCGCCUCCUGAUUAAAUAUAGGAGGUCCAGCCUGCCCAGUGAUAAAAUUCAACGGCCGCGGUAUACUAACCGUGCGAAGGUAGCAUAAUCACUUGUUCUUUAAAUGGGGACUCGUAUCAACGGCAUCACGAGGGUUAUACUGUCUCCUCUAUCCAAUCAGUGAAACUGAUCCCCCCGUGAAGAAGCGGGGAUUUAACCAUAAGACGAGAAGACCCCAUGGAGCUUUAAACCCAACAUACACCCCUACAUUCAAAUACCAACUUAACCAAAGAGGCCUGUACGUCGGUUUUAGGCUGGGGGGGCCACGGAGUAAAACUAAACCUCCAUAACAAAUGGGCUAAUACCCUAAUCUAUGACUUAUAAGUCUAAGAAUCACCAAAAUGAUGUUUAAUGACCCGAUAAUUCGAUCAAUAGACCAAGUUACCCUGGGGAUAACAGCGCAAUCCACUUCAAGAGCCCCUAUCGACAAGUGGGUUUACGACCUCGAUGUUGGAUCAGGGUAUCCUAGUGGUGCAGCCGCUACUAAUGGUUCGCUUGUUCAGCGAUUAAAACCCUACGUGAUCUGAGUUCAGACCGG
rnacentral:rRNA from 1 species